AUGAGGAUGUGCCAGAGGCAACUACUAUUGAUAACAUACCAUCAUUUCCUGGAUCUUCUUGUAUUGCUAGUACGGGAACGUUGCAGGCCACAUUGGUUUUGAGCAAUGAAGAAAUACUUCCCUUAAAGAUACAAAAGGUUCCAGGCAAUGAUACCUUCUAUAAACAUCUUAGUGACAUUGCAUUGCGGAUAUUUGGGCCCACCAUACUUAAAAGGUGGAAUGACCAAGAAAAAAGGUUAAAAGAUGAAUUGACAAACCAAAUGGUUGAGUGGUUUGGAAAUGACACCUUUGACAAAAGCAAGCUCCUUGAAAAAGUUGGCACAUAUCUAAAGUAUGUGAGGGACCAAUACAGGACCCAUUUGGAGAGGAACCUAAAGUAUGAGCAUCCCCCCAUGAUUCCAGAGAGGGAUUGGAAGGACUUGAUUUUGGAUGCCAAGGAGAGAAUUGAAAGGAAAAAAGGAAAUACACCACUAGACACCAGAAGAAGACUCAGUCACACGUCAAAGGUAACCAAGACAAGGCAAGAAAAGCACGGGUAACACAAACUCGGCUUUGGUGGUUACAUGAAACUUGCUGCACGAAUCGGCUUUGAAUUCAAUAGAGCACCCAUAGAAGAUGACAAGAGAAUUGCCUAUUAGCAAGUCUAUUCAGCCAUGGCUGAUCGGCUAUGAGAAUUGAAUGGGCAUACACAAC